CUGAGCUAUUGUUUUGAGUUCUUAAAACUAAAACUUAAGAUGAGUAUACUAAAGAAAUUACAUUAUAAAUGAAUUGUUGCUCAAAAUUCAUCUUCCAAGUAUUUAAUAUUUUGCUUUUAUGAAUUUUCACCUUAAUAUUCAGUUAUAUCACAGUUAAGUCGUUGUUUUUAAAGACAGUGAUGUUAUAAAUAUUCAUCGUGUAAGGAUUCCUUUUUUUCUUUAAAGUAAAACUCAAUUUUUAGGACAACAGUCUGGAAUUUAAAGCACAAAGAUGAUUAAGUAUACAGUUAGAACAUGGUUUCAGAGAAGAACUAGUGCCUGUUUGAAAGAAAAUAAAGCAAAUAUUAACAAUAUCCUCAAUUUCACAGAUACUAGUACCAUCCUCCCUUCUUGGGUCAUUACCUUCACAAAUAAUUGGACUUUAUUAUUUUAUUAUCCUAAACAAUGUGUUUCGUUACAAUGAAAAGCAUCUACAACCCUUGAGAAUACAGCCUGACAGUGGACUUCGCCAUCCAGUUCUCAACGAUAACUGUCAACUGGACUAUUAACACAAGCUGAUUAACACCAGACAAUCCACAAGCAAAUGCCACAGAUGUGACUACAGCAGAUCUGGGAUGCUCCUCCGUGGGUACAGAAGAGCAUGGGGGGGAGAUGGCGCUGCAACCGCUCUACCCUGUUCGGGGUCACUGGACAGCAACAAGGCUUACUGGUGGCUUGAGAGCACUGAAAUCCACAUUAGAUAUUACUAAUCACUGCUGUGAGCAGAUUCUCAUGCUGGGUAGCAGUCAUUACCACAUUGUCCGUGAUGGCGGCUGGGUGCAAAAGUCUGACGUUCUGCUGCAUGAAGAACUCCUUCAGGCCCAGGACCAUCUCUAACCUGAGGAAUCCAACCAAAGACUGUUACAGUCUGCUAUGACACUGGACUUGCUCAAACAGGCAAUCACCUCUCAUCCUAUAAUUCAGUUACCCUGGCAGAUUACCUGGAAAAACAAAAUAAUCCACAGACACAAACAGUAAAACACUAUCACUGCCCGGAUUAGACCUGUCCCAGCCCUGCAGCUUCACCGAUGGCUUAAGUGAACAUGUAUCCAACCUCUCUGCACUGACAGCUGCAUGCAAAAUUCACUUUGUCUUGGUUUUUCAUAAUCAUCCUUGCAAGCAAGACAGCAUUUUCAGAUUUUUGUGUAGCCCUAUAUGUAUAUUUAUAUAUGCACAUGCACAU
rnacentral:lncRNA from 1 species